AGAGUUUGAUCCUGGCUCAGGAUGAACGCUAGCUACAGGCUUAACACGAUGCAAGUCGAGGGGCAGUCAUGGUCUUAGCUUGCUAAGGCCGAUGGCGACCGGCGCACGGGUGAGUAACACGUAUCCAACCUGCCGAUAACUCGGGGAUAGCCUUUCGAAAGAAAGAUUAAUAUCCGAUGGUAUAUUAAACCGCAUGGUUUUACUAUUAAGAAUUUCGGUUAUCGGAUGGGGAUGCGUUCCAUUAGUUUGUUGGCGGGGUAACGGCCCACCAAGACUACGAUGGAUAGGGGUUCUGAGAGGAAGGUCCCCCACAUUGGAACUGAGACACGGUCCAAACUCCUACGGGAGGCAGCA
rnacentral:rRNA from 1 species